rnacentral:rRNA from 1 species
UACGUAGGGGGCAAGCGUUGUCCGGAAUCAUUGGGCGUAAAGAGCGCGUAGGCGGUCCGGUAAGUCGGUUGUGAAAGUCGGGGGCUCAACCCUGGGAUGCCGGUGGAUACUGUCGGACUAGAGUACGGAAGAGGCGAGUGGAAUUCCCGGUGUAGCGGUGAAAUGCGCAGAUAUCAGGAAGAACACCCGUGGCGAAGGCGGCUCUCUGGGACGGUACUGACGCUGAGACGCGAAAGCGUGGGGAGCGAACAGG